AGAGUUUGAUUCUGGCUCAGGACGAACGCUGGCGGCGUGCUUAACACAUGCAAGUCGAACGAUGAAGCCUAGCUUGCUAGGUGGAUUAGUGGCGAACGGGUGAGUAAUACGUGAGUAACCUACCUUUAACUCUGGGAUAAGCCCGGGAAACUGGGUCUAAUACCGGAUACGACCAAUCUCCGCAUGGGGUGUUGGUGGAAAGCGUUAUGUAGUGGUUAUAGAUGGGCUCACGGCCUAUCAGCUUGUUGGUGAGGUAACGGCUCACCAAGGCGACGACGGGUAGCCGGCCUGAGAGGGUGACCGGCCACACUGGGACUGAGACACGGCCCAGACUCCUACGGGAGGCAGCAGUGGGGAAUAUUGCACAAUGGGCGCAAGCCUGAUGCAGCGACGCCGCGUGAGGGAUGACGGCCUUCGGGUUGUAAACCUCUGUUAGCAGGGAAGAAGAGAGAUUGACGGUACCUGCAGAGAAAGCGCCGGCUAACUACGUGCCAGCAGCCGCGGUAAUACGUAGGGCGCGAGCGUUGUCCGGAAUUAUUGGGCGUAAAGAGCUUGUAGGCGGUUUGUCGCGUCUGCUGUGAAAGGCCGGAGCUUAACUCCGUGUAUUGCAGUGGGUACGGGCAGACUAGAGUGCAGUAGGGGAGACUGGAAUUCCUGGUGUAGCGGUGGAAUGCGCAGAUAUCAGGAGGAACACCGAUGGCGAAGGCAGGUCUCUGGGCUGUAACUGACGCUGAGAAGCGAAAGCAUGGGGAGCGAACAGGAUUAGAUACCCUGGUAGUCCAUGCCGUAAACGUUGGGCACUAGGUGUGGGGGACAUUCCACGUUUUCCGCGCCGUAGCUAACGCAUUAAGUGCCCCGCCUGGGGAGUACGGCCGCAAGGCUAAAACUCAAAGAAAUUGACGGGGGCCCGCAC
rnacentral:rRNA from 1 species